ensembl:miRNA
UUAAUGCUAAUCGUGAUAGGGGUUUUUACCUCUGACUGACUCCUACAUGUUAGCAUUA